rnacentral:rRNA from 1 species
UCUACGGGAGGCAGCAGUGAGGAAUAUUGGUCAAUGUACGAGAGUCUGAACCAGCCAAGUAGCGUGAAGGAUGACUGCCCUAUGGGCUGUAAACCUCUUUUAUAUGGGAAUAAAAUGUUCCAAGUGUGGGAUUUUGUGUGUACCAUAUGAAUAAGGAUCGGCUAACUCCGUGCCAGCAGCCGCGGUAAUACGGUGGAUCCGAGCGUUAUCCGGAUUUAUUGGGUUUAAAGGGAGCGUAGGUGGAUUGUUAAGUCAGUUGUGAAAGUUUGCGGCUCAAACGUAAAAUUGCAGUUGAAACUGGCAGUCUUGAGUACAGUAGAGGUGGGCGGAAUGCGUGGUGUAGCGGUGAAAUGCUUAGAUAUCACGAAGAACUCCGAUUGCGAAGGCAGUUCACUGGACUGCAACUGACACUGAGGCUCGAAAGUGUGGGUAUCAAACAGGAUUAGAUACCCUGGUAGUC